rnacentral:lncRNA from 1 species
GGAAAUUGGGAUAAUUUUUAUCCAAAAAAUAUCCUCAAACUUUUAAAUAGAAUGAGAUAAAAUUUUUAGAGCAUAGCACGUAUUUGAUAUAACUUUUUUAUAAGAAUAGAUGCUCAACCAAAUAUAAACUAUUCUGAAACGUAUUAUUUUGCAAGAUUACCGAGGCACCAGCUUCGCAGCAAAAAUAUUUCAGCGAGAAAAUUUUUGCUAGGAACUAAACAAGUCUCGAGAAGAAACAUGGAAAGAAAUACAAGAAGAAAGACACACACUAAUAUAACUUCUCCUGACAACCCACAAUGGAGACGUUAGAAAUGCCAAAGAUUUCAAGUUGCCCUGCCGGAGAGUCAGGACACUUGCCUUUCAAUCAAGCAGCCAUUCUUUCCAAGUUCCAACUCUCGUUACAAAACGACUUCAACACAACGCAAGCAUGGAAAGGCAGACGACGACGACAAGACUGGCAGCAAGACCAGAGCAGAUUUUUUCUUUUGAUUGAACCCACCACCUCCCACCACCAUCACUGGUGAGGGAAUACGGCCACCCUCCCUCACAUGGUGGGACGGAAGAAAUGAUUCACGUGGUCUUCGAGAGAGAUGGGAAAGGCGAGCUCACCUCGGAUAGUUAUAUAGACUCGAGAGGGGUUUCUGGCUCUUCGAAGUGAGGAAAGGGUGAGCGGGUUUGGGCUCUUCGUUCCUUGAGAGAUGGGAUCUUCUGGGAAUAUGCUCUCGUUGCUGACACCAUCUUUCACUUCUUUUUUAAUAUUUCUGUCUCUAUUUGGUUGGGUAUCUGAGGAUAUCCCAGAAGGGUGUUAAAGGGAUGCCUUCUACUUUUCUUCCGUU